GGAUUAUCUUUAAGGGGGCUUGUGGGGCUGAGAACCAAGAGUUCUUAACACUAUGACCAAAGCUUUCAAGUUCUCCUCAUAAUGCUAGAGUCACUCAGUGGUGCUGUGUCUCUGGGGAGAUAAAAGA
rnacentral:snoRNA from 1 species